rnacentral:lncRNA from 1 species
CGCGGUCAUGGCAGGAGCGGGCGACAGAAUCCGGUCUCGGAGGCUCCUGUAGCGAGCCACAGGAGGGAGCCUCCCAGGUGGUCGACCGGAGCCAGGUGCUGCCAGGCACCCGACUGCAGAGCUUGCCCUCCAGGUGAUCUCGCAGUAUCGGUGUUCACAAGCCCUGUAAGGCACUCGGGGUAUCCUGAAGGCUACAGAUUCUGCAAGGGCAGAGACUUUAAGGAACAGCCAUAGUCCUUCUCCAGCUCAAAAUCUGGACCAUGGGCACAAGGUAAACACCACACUGGUGUCAACAAAGGAAUCUGCUAUUUAUGUGGAUUUUUACUUUAGACAAACUAGAGUAUCUAUGUUGUUCUGUGUGUUGAACACAGAGUGUGAUGAUGUUAAUAUAAUGUAAAUGUUGAUGUAACAGUAAACAUUUCUGGCAACAUUUCAGGGUCCUUCCUCUUGCCUUAUUAGGGGGUGAUGCAUUCAUACAGACUUCCCCUGUUAGAAGAGCUAGCAGUAAGACAGCCCAAGUACUUGGAGGAAAUUCACUCUAGCCCAUUGGUUUGGAAAAGAAGGUAUAGCCUGCAAUUUAGAAAUGCACCUUAUUUUUAAAUACUUGAAUUCUGCUGCUGCUCACUGGACCAGGAGGAGUCAGUGAUGAAUGCUCAUAUUUACCUUUUUGGGGGCAAAAACCCAGUUCUGAAAUGCUGGGUAUUGUAAUCAGAUGUAAAGAAGGUGCCUAUGAUAGACGAGUGAAAACAAUGAUAUCUAAGGAGAGGAACUGACGCUCCAACUAGAUGUGUGCUUUCAGGAAUGGGGCAGAGACGCGAUGCAGUUUGGUUAUUCAGCACAUUCCUUGCACCUUCUCCCUUUCCUAUAUACAUACUUUUUACAUAUAAACAAUUACAACUUCAUAAGGAUUUGGUACAUAUUUACAUGCUUCUCUUUGCCGUAUAGUUUGCCUUAUUAUUAUUACAGAACUGUGAUUAAGAGUGUCUGUGGUGGAUAGAGGUGUAUGAAGUGCUCCAGACAUAUAUACAACAUGCUAAACCAUGAUGACCCAAAUAAACAUGAGGGAUGUGAAUCUGGGAAUGUGAGUUUCACUGCACAUCUUUAGAUCCGAAACAGCUGGCCCAUGCAGCUGUUGUUCCCAUGCAGGUACACAUUGGGACCAUGCCAGGAGCUCUCCCAGAGGAGGAGGCCAGGCUGGCAGGGAGCCAGGUAGAGUUACAACAUAUUUCUGGAUGCCUGCAUCGUAGAGUCCAUCGGACUUCAACCCAGCGGUUCACCCACAGCGCCACGGUAGCUUUUAUUAACACAAGGCUAUUGUGUGCCAUUCAGUUGUGAGUAUAAUAAAUGUGCCAAGAAGAUGCAGUCGUUAAAAUGAGACAAAACUAUGCACAGAGGACUAAACAGGAUUUCAGACUCGAGACGCAAACCCCGAGGUCAGGCUCAGCUAGAGACAUUGAACUGGCCCAGUAUCUUGCCGAGUAAAUCAGGAACUGUGGCUUGAAUGACAACAGAAAUGGAUGGGUCUUUCUUGGACAAGUGCUGAUUAAUAGUGCAUUUUCCAGCAGAAAUCCUGCAGCCACCAAAGAAAAAGCAUAUCUGUCUGAUACUAUUAGCUUUUCCCUGAUUUCAACCUAGGGAGCCAUGCCUGGUCCGCAGCCACUGUGUCAUCUGCCCCAAAGUCAGACAUUUCUUCUGACACAAAUAUAAAAUGAGCCUAAUACUUCCAGACAACCCAGUCCUCCCUACGGCAGCUGAGUCGUGUCUUUUAUACAAUGCUGCCAGUAACAGUCACACCUGGCUGCACAGCUGGCUGCCUCAACUUCUAGGUGCCUCGAAAUGGCUAAAUCCCACGAAUGGCUCUUCUGGUUGCAUGAAAACAUGCAUAAACGCAUGCUUGUGCACACAAGUGAGCACACACACACACCUCCUGUCAAUUCAGCUCUGAGAGCAGAACCUUAGCCCACCUAGGGUGGGAGGACACAGAAGUUCCAUCUGCAGCCAGUCAGGCUCCAUCCACAGGCUGGACGAAGCUCCUGGGCUGUGGCCUGGGUCUCCCAGCAGGAGUGGAAAUCACACCUAACGUUGCCUUCACCAAUGCACUGCUUCCUCUCUG